AUUGAACGCUGGCGGAAUGCUUUACACAUGCAAGUCGAACGGCAGCACGGGGGCAGCCCUGGUGGCGCGUGGCGAACGGGUGAGUAAUACAUCUGAACGUGCCCGGUCGUGGGGGAUAGCGUAGCGAAAGUUACGCUAAUACCGCAUACGAUCUGAGGAUGAAAGCGGGGGACCUUCGGGCCUCGCGCGAUCGGAGCGGCCGAUGUCAGAUUAGGUAGUUGGUGGGGUAAAGGCCUACCAAGCCGACGAUCUGUAGCUGGUCUGAGAGGACGACCAGCCACACUGGGACUGAGACACGGCCCAGACUCCUACGGGAGGCAGCAGUGGGGAAUUUUGGACAAUGGGCGCAAGCCUGAUCCAGCCAUUCCGCGUGCAGGACGAAGGCCUUCGGGUUGUAAACUGCUUUUGUACGGAACGAAAAGGCUCUGGCUAAUACCUGGGGCUCAUGACGGUACCGUAAGAAUAAGCACCGGCUAACUACGUG
rnacentral:rRNA from 1 species